rnacentral:lncRNA from 1 species
UAGUGGGGUGCCCCGUUAAAAGUUACCUGAUAAUGAACUUAAUUUUUUUAUUCGUUUGUACUGGAUACGUUUAUGUUUUCUCUUAUCCAUUGUUUAAUUAAAAAAAGAUGGUAUAACACAAAUGUCGUGACACUAAAUAGGUUAAAUUAUACGAAUCUGCAGAAAUCAAAAUCUAUUAAAAGUCUUUUUCUACGUUGCGAAAAUGAUCUGAAAUACUAUAUUUAAAUACUUUCAACCAAUGAAUUAAGGUAACGACAUAUAAAUAUAAUGGAAUAUAAUAAACGCUUACAAGUUGGGUUAUAUCUACCAUACUGUGAUCAUUUACAUUAUAUGAGUCUUAAACCUUACCCUGCUAAAUUUCUAUAAUACUCUUGUCCACCUUUCAAUUUGGACAGUACCAUUAACUGUUAAAAGGGGUGCUUACCAACAAGAUACUGACAGAAUGGCGAACAGUGCAGAUCUUGAUCAGACUACAUGGAUGUGCACGCUGAUCAUGAUCAAGGCAGAAUCAAUUGUGUCCAGCAUGAUAAGUGUUAAUGUGACAUUACAUUUUUCAUGUGAAACGAAUUUUAUGUCUCAUUAAGAUUAUCAUGUCACAUUAGAAAUGUAAUUAAGAAGGUUAGCAAGAUAAUCAAUGUCAUUAAGCAUUAUUGAUGCCGUUAAGAAGUUAAAGAUAUAUUAGACACAUAUUCGUAUUUCUAAAUAUGAAUAGUUUUACUUCAUAAGAUCUUUAAAAGUAAAAAUAUAAGAUGUUUAUGUGUAUAAACAUUGCUCUACUUUAGACUUAAAACAGUACACACCAAAUAUAUGUUUAGUUAUUGCACAGUUUAAAUGUGUACUACAAGCACCGCUGAAACUGAAGUUCUUUAUAACGAAUGGCUGUUAUAUAUGGCGUUUAAUUAUGACUGUAGCUCUACAAACACAAUCUAGUGAUCUGGGAUGAUGUAUUCGGCUUGACUGGAUCUGCGACAGCCUGGUCUCAAACUACGACAGCCGAAAGAAUUAAAGAACUGUUUAUUCAACGUGUCAUAGAUAUCAAAGAUAAUAUUCCAGACACACAAAAUACAGAAUCAGAUUACCACCUAGUGCAAUACGGAUUUUGAUAUCUACCAGUUUGUAUUUAUUUGUGAAAUACAAGCCAUAUCUUUUACAAAAUAAUAAUAGUAGUUAAUGAGAUUGAUUUUGAAGUUUUAGCAUUUAUAGAAAAUGAUCGAAUAAUGACAUGUUUAGGCAUAGUAAUGUAUACAUGAUUAAGUAUAAAUGAUCAAAGUAUGGCCAAACGAUGUGUGUGCAGUUUUGCUUUAAAUGAUACAAGAAUGGCCAUUUUCUUAUUCAGCUGGACCUGGAACCACCUAGAAAACAUAAAAAAGUCCCCACUAGGUAACAAGUGAAACCUUUGCAAUGUUUGAUACAUCUAUGCAGGUAAACAAAUCAACAGUAAAACACUAAUCCGUGUCUUAUAAUUUAACAUAUAAAACAGCCUUUUUGUCACUUGCUUGAUGCCAAGCGUGACUGAAAUCGUUCUCAGACUCACGUUCACCUAGGGUAAUUCUUCACCCCGUGUAACUUGCACAUCGGUGGGACACCCCCAAAAAGUAUAAACUUCGAGUACUAACCUGUGGUUCAAUAAACCAUUUACUUCUUCUGGUUGGUUGAUUCGGAGGGCAA